UACAGAGGGUGCGAGCGUUGUUCGGAAUUAUUGGGCGUAAAGCGCUUGUAGGCGGCCUGUCAAGUCGCGUGUGAAAUCCCCUGGCUUAACCAGGGAAGUGCGCGCGAAACUGAAGGGCUUGAGUGCCGGAGAGGGUCGCGGAAUUCCCGGUGUAGAGGUGAAAUUCGUAGAUAUCGGGAGGAACACCAGUGGCGAAGGCGGCGACCUGGACCGAGACUGACGCUGAGGCGCGAAAGCGUGGGGAGCAAGCAGG
rnacentral:rRNA from 1 species